GUGGCUGUGGUAACCGAGUUACUAAGUAACCAAACAUUGAGUAAAAGGAAGAACUCCCAGGGAAACCAAAUAGAAUCCUUCUCACUAAAGAAUCUCCUUUCUGAUUUGCCUUGAUCCUCUCUCAUCAAGUGUGGAAUUCUGUUUUAGUAAGAAAGACUGUCCUCGCUUGUUCUUCUCCCCUGAGACGUGGCCAUUUUCUCUCUUCGACUCCUCCGCAAGUUGAUGACCAAAACAACUUCUCCUCAGCAUUAAGUCAUUUCAGUGAAUCUCUACGACGGGAAGAGGCCAAUGCAGGUGCUUUCCUUAUGAUAUUCACAUAAGGUUUAAAUUUUUUCUGCUUACCAGUGAAGACAGGAGGAGAAGGAAACACCAUAUAAAUGACUGUGUCAGUGUAAAAUGUGUUGUGCCAAGUUUAC
rnacentral:lncRNA from 1 species